CAGAUGUGUGGGAGUAUGGGAAUGGGAAGGCUGCAACAGACGCUGCAAACCCACUGCUGACACCAGGGUUCUCGUGUGGGACGGAUUUUUAAGAGGAUUGGCCAGGUGUGCCCUGUUG